rnacentral:rRNA from 1 species
GAGUUUGAUUCUGGCUCAGAACGAACGCUGGCGGCGCGUCUUAACCAUGCAAGUCGAGCGGCAGGCAGCAAUGCCGAGAGCGGCGGACUGGAGAGUAACACGUGGAUAACGUACCCCGAUGCCCGGGACAGCCUGUAGAAAUAGAGGGUGAUACCGGAUAGAUCACUGACUACGGAAGGUAGACAGCGGGAAAGGAGCUUCGGCUCCGCGCCGGGAACGGUCUGCGGCCCAUCAGCUGGACGGCGGGGUAACGGCCCGCCGUGGCGAGGACGGGUAUCCGGCCUGAGAGGGCGGACGGACACAUUGGGACUGAGAUACGGCCCAGACUCCUACGGGAGGCAGCAGGUAAGAAUAUUCCGCAAUGGGGGGAACCCUGACGGAGCGACGCCGCGUGAACGAAAAAGGCCGGAAGGUUGUAAAGUUCUUUUCUGUCCGAGGAAUAAGUGUAGGAGGAAAUGCCUGCAUGGUGACG